rnacentral:rRNA from 1 species
GUAGGUGGCAAGCGUUGUCCGGAUUUACUGGGCGUAAAGAGCGCGCAGGCGGGCCGAGUAAGUCGAAUGUGAAAGCCCCCGGGCUCAACUGGGGAGAGUCAUUCGAUACUGUUCGGCUUGAAGAUAGGAGAGGGAAGCGGAAUUUCCGGUGUAGUGGUGAAAUGCGUAGAUAUCGGAAGGAACACCAGUGGCGAAGGCGGCUUUCUGGCCUAUUCUUGACGCUGAGGCGCGAAAGCUAGGGGAGCGAACGGGAUUAGAUACCCCGGUAGUCCUAGCUGUAAACGAUGGACACUAGAUGUUGGCGGUAUCAACCCCGCCAGUGUCGUAGCUAACGCAUUAAGUGUCCCGCCUGGGGAGUACGGCCGCAAAGGCUAA